CCCUUCUCACCCGGCUUCCUGCCUUUGCCCUGACGCCGGCGACGGACGAGGAGGACGACGAGGAGGCAGAGCAGCAGGACGAAGGCCCCCGCGGCCCCGAGGAGGACGUACAGGAAUGAGAGCAAAAGAAAGUCAUUCUUAGAGGAAGGAACAUGGAAAGAGUUUGUGGCCAGCAGGUCUGCUCCACAAGAAAUGGUGUAUAGACAUUAUUUCAUUUAUGCCUUUGUACGCAUCUGAAAUGUUCCGUGACAAUCUUUUCAAAAGGAGGUUCAGUGCGGUGGACAGAGUUCAGACUCUGCAAUCAGCAGGACCGAGUUUUAAAUGUCAGCCUGCUGGAUACCCCCUAGAUGUGUGACCUCCUUCAGGCCUUUCCCUCGCCGGCUUAAACAAAUGCAAAGGCCCACGCUUCCCAGGAUUGCCGUCGGGAUUGA